GAAAUGUGGAGGUACGUUAAUUGCUGUGUAUGCCAUGUGGCUUCCUUGGCUCAACACAAAGAUGUGGCUUUGUAGCUCACAGCCAGCAGGUCCUGCCCACGUCAUCUGCCUUUCUGAGGUGACGGUGCAGAGGCCCACACGUGCCACAGCUCACAUGGAGGAGGCAAACACCCUUUGCAUGGGAAAUGAGGAAAGUGGCUUUCUGCAGUCACAGGGGCCAGCUCCUGCUAACAGUGAUAAAACAAGGGAGAAAACCAAUUUAAAUGGGAUCAGAAGGUCAACC
rnacentral:lncRNA from 1 species